UACGUAGGGCGCAAGCGUUGUCCGGAAUUAUUGGGCGUAAAGAGCUCGUAGGUGGCUUGUCACGUCGGGUGUGAAAGCUUGGGGCUUAACUCCAGGUCUGCAUUCGAUACGGGCUGGCUAGAGGUAGGUAGGGGAGAACGGAAUUCCUGGUGUAGCGGUGAAAUGCGCAGAUAUCAGGAGGAACACCGGUGGCGAAGGCAGGUCACUGGGCCGCAACUGACGCUGAGGAGCGAAAGCAUGGGGAGCGAACAGG
rnacentral:rRNA from 1 species